AACGAACGUUAGCGGCGCGCCUAACACAUGCAAGUCGUGCGAGAAAGGGCUUCGGCCCCGGUAAAGCGGCGCACGGGUGAGUAACACGUAGAUAACCUACCCUCAGGUGGCGGAUAACCUUCCGAAAGGAGGCUAAUACGGCAUAAGACCACGGUCUCGCAAGAGAUUGAGGUAAAAGCAGGCCUCUGUACACAAGCUUGCGCCAGGGGAUGGGUCUGCGGCCCAUCAGCUAGUUGGUAGGGUAAUGGCCUACCAAGGCGAAGACGGGUAGCUGGUCUGAGAGGAUGAUCAGCCACACUGGAACUGAGACACGGUCCAGACUCCUACGGGAGGCAGCAGUGGGGAAUCUUGCGCAAUGGGCGAAAGCCUGACGCAGCGACGCCGCGUGAGUGAUGAAGGCCUUCGGUGUAAGCUCUGUGGAGGGGGACGGAAGUAAGUAGUCGUCGAAUAGACGGCGAUGAUGA
rnacentral:rRNA from 1 species